ACCGGUGCACGGAACGCAGCAGUGCCCAGGCCAAGCGGCAGCCCCGGGUCCUGCUGAGAAGCAGCGCCUUUGCCGGGCUCUCCAGAGCUGCCCAUGAUCAGGGAAAACAACGCAACGCCGCAGAGCACAUCAAGAAAAAUUCUACUAUUGCCAGAAACAGAUUUAAGAAUAUAUUUCCUCCGGCUCAUCUUUUCAGCAAUACAUGUGCACCUAAUAGCACAAGAACGACUCACCUCAGUUCUACACUUCUCUACAAGGUCAACUAUUACCAUGCAAGUACUUGACUGAAAAUUGAAGAAAACUCCAUUCUCUAUUGAGGCAUCUGAUAUAUCACUGCUGAUACCAUAAGUUACUCUAAAGGACUGUCUAACUGGAAGGGCUAUGAAAUACACUGUAAAUGAAAAUUAAUUCAGUAUUUAUUCAAGAUGAUAAGAGUAUGACUUGUUUGGUCUGACACAUUAGAAUAUGAAUAAAGUUGUUCAUGGCUUUGAA